ensembl:lncRNA
UGUAGUAUGUGAUGUGGGGUGGGGUAUGUAGUGUGAUGCGUGUGUGUGUGUGUGUGUGUGUGUGUGUGGUGUAUGGUGUAUGGUGUCAUGUGUGGUGUCAUGUGUGAUGUGUGGGAUGUAGUAUAUAGUAUGUGAUGUGGGUUGGGGAGUAAGUGUUGAGUGUGGUAUGUGUGGGGUGCUGUGUGGUAUAUGUUAUGGGGUGUGGGGUGUGGUAUAUGGUGUUUGGUGUGUAGGGUACCGGGUGCUGUGUGGUGUGUGGUGUUUGAUGUGCAAUGUGUGGUAUGGUGUGUGCUGUGGUAUGUGGUAUGUAGUGUGGUGUGGUGUGUGGGGUGCGAUGUGUGGGGUGCGGGGUGUGGGAUGUGUAGUAGGGUGUGUGUUAUGUGGUGUACAUGUGUGUGGAGGAUGUGUGAUAUGGGAUGUUAGGUAUAAAAUGUGAGGUAUGAAGUAGAGCAGUAGAGUGUGAGAUUACUGCAUAGAGUCGUGCAGUGUUAAAUGUGUGGUGUAGGAGGUAUGGUGUGGAAUGUGUAGCAUGUGAUAGGUAUAGGAAUAUGUGAUAGGUAUAGGAAUAUGUGAUAGGUAUAGGAAUAUGUGAUAGGUAUAGGAAUAUGUGAUAGGUAUAGGAAUAUGUGAUAGGUAUAGGAAUAUGUGAUAGGUAUAGGUAUAUGCUGAGGGGUAUGUGGUGUUGAAAAGUGUGACACGGGAUGUGUUAUAUAGAGUGUAGAGUGUGCAGGGGAGGUGUUAUAGAGUUACCAGAGUUUUAGAAUGUGUGUGGGAUGCAUGGUAUAAAAUAGUGUGACAUGAGAUAUAUGUAUGGGGUGUGUGGGGUGGAGUGUAUGGAAUGGUGUAUCGUGUGUGGUGGGAUGUGACACACAGUGGUACAGUGCGGUAAACUGGGUCGGUGGGUCGUGCCUGUCAUCUCAAACUUUGGGAGUUCUGAGGCAAGAAAAUUGGCAUGUGUCUGAGGCCAGCCUGGGCUACACAGCAAGACCUCGUCUCAAAACCAGAGCAUUUCAAUACAGAGUUAUUGUCUGAGACAGUGCUCACUUGGACGAUGUGGAGAAG